UGAGGAAUAUUGGUCAAUGGACGAGAGUCUGAACCAGCCAAGUAGCGUGCAGGAUGACGGCCCUAUGGGUUGUAAACUGCUUUUGUUUGGGAAUAAUCGACAUUACGUGUAAUGUUUUGCAUGUACCAUUCGAAUAAGGACCGGCUAAUUCCGUUCCAGCAGCCGCGGUAAUACGGAAGGUCCAGGCGUUAUCCGGAUUUAUUGGGUUUAAAGGGAGUGUAGGCGGUUGGUUAAGCGUGUUGUGAAAUGUAGAUGCUCAACAUCUGACUUGCAGCGCGAACUGGCUGACUUGAGUACAAACAACGUAGGCGGAAUUCAUGGUGUAGCGGUGAAAUGCUUAGAUAUCAUGAAGAACUCCGAUUGCGAAGGCAGCUUACGGGAGCGCAACUGACGCUGAAGCUCGAAGGUGCGGGUAUCGAACAGG
rnacentral:rRNA from 1 species